GGCGGACGGGUGAGUAACGCGUGAGCAACCUGCCGUUUCAGAGGGGGAUAACGUUUGGAAACGAACGCUAAUACCGCAUAACGUAAGGAUAUCGCAUGGUAACCUUACCAAAGAUUUUAUCGCUGAAAGAUGGGCUCGCGUCCGAUUAGGUAGUUGGUCGAGGUAACGGCCCACCGAGCCGACGAUCGGUAGCCGGACUGAGAGGUUGAACGGCCACAUUGGGACUGAGACACGGCCCAGACUCCUACGGGAGGCAGCAGUGGGGAAUAUUGCACAAUGGGCGCAAGCCUGAUUGCAGCAACGCCGCGUGAGGGAAGACGGUUUUCGGAUUGUAAACCUCUGUUCUUAGUGACGAAGAAGUGACGGUAGCUAAGGAGCAAGCCACGGCUAACUACGUGCCAGCAGCCGC
rnacentral:rRNA from 1 species